GCUGGGCAUGGUGGUGCAUGCCCGUAGUCCCAGCUACUUGGGGGGCUGAGGUGGGAGGAUCACUUGAGCCCAGGAGGUUGAGGCUGUAGUGAGCUGAGAUCGUGCCACUGCACUCCAGCCUGGGUGACAAAGUGAGACCCUGUCUCAA
rnacentral:SRP_RNA from 1 species